ensembl:lincRNA
GUGGGGUUUUUGUUUGUUUAUUUGUUUGUUUGUUGUUGUUGUUUUGCUUUUGUUGAUUCUAGAUCCUUUCUGUCAAAGCGAAGAAUGGACCAAAAGGGAAAAUACAGCAAGUAUUUCCAUGGAACAACCUCAGGGCUGUGUUGGAAACGGGAGAAGUCUGCCAUUAUGGUGAUAUAGUUCUACAUUCCUCACGGAACAACACGGGCAAAAGUAAUUUGUGUUUAUUUAUCCUGCCGUUAUUCACAAAAUUUGAAACACUUGUAACAUGUAAAACUUAAGCUACACCAAUUGCCGAGAGAUGUAUACAUCCAGACUUCUAAUAUGCUUGAAGGGAACCACUGGCCUGUCCACUCCAUCCUGUCACCUCUGAUGAUCUGCAAACUUCAGACCUCCAGGGACUUUGGAGCCAGUCACAGGUGCCCCAGGGGAUGCAGAACAUGGUUACAAGGGAAAAGGAGUUGGAGACUGUCAAUUGCCUUCAGAGUAAGAGGAAAGGGAAGAAGAAAGCGCAGAGCAGGAGGAGGAAGGAUGGGGCAGGGCUCUCAUCUGGCUGAGUGACAUGAAUUCUCAGAAUGUAAACGAAGAUAACAGCAUAUCCUUAAAGCUGCGUUCAUAACCCUGGCUAAGAUUCUGGACAGAUAAAAUGCAUGCCUGUUAGCCAUGCAUGAUGGCAUCUGCAUGUAGUCUCAGCUGCUAGAGAGGCUGAGGCAGGAGAAUUGUUUAAGCCCAGGAGUUCCAGGCUGCAGUGAGCUGUGAUUGCACCACUGCUCUCCAACCUGGGUGACAGAUCAAGACCAUGUCUUAAAAAAAAAAAAAAAAAAAAAAGAAAGAAAGAAAGAGAAAGAAAGAAAGAGAAAAGAAAAGAAAGAAAGAAAGAAAAAGAAAAGGAAAAUGGUCUGGCAAUAGAGUGAAAUUUUGUCUCUUAAAAAAAAAAGAAAAGAAAAAUAGAAAAACAAAAACAAAAGCACUGGGGACUCGAAAAGAGGGAGAGGGUGGGAGAAAGUUAAGCAUUGAAAAAUUAUCUAUUGGGUACAAUGUUCAUUAUUUGGGUGAUGGGUUCACUAGAAGUCCAAACCCCAACAUUAUGCCAUAUACCCAUGUAACAAACCUGCACAUGUAUCCCCGAAUUUAAAGUAAAAAUAAUUUUGUUUUAAAAGCAUGCCUACAUCUAUAUCCUGGGAUCUCAGGAAUGCUCCUUUAAUGACGCAUUUUAGCUGUCACUUUGACUGGGUCAUGGAAUGCCAAGAUCCCUGAUUAGACAUUAUUUUUUAGUGUGUCUGUAAGGGUGUUUCCAGAAGAGAUUAGUAUUUGAAUCCAUAGAUUAAAGCAGAUGAAACCUCCACAAUGUGGGCAGACAUCAUUCAAUCCCCUGAAAGCCAGAAGAGAUAAAAAAGGUGGAGGAAGGCUGACUCUCCCUCUUUCUUCCUCACUGCUGAGCUGGGACAUUUAUCUUCUGCCCUAAGUGCUCCCAGCUCUCAGGUCUUCAGACUUGGACUGGAAUCUACACCAUUGUCUCUCCAGCUCUCAGACCUUCUUCAAUGACACCACUAGCUUUUCUGGGUCUCCAGCUUGCAGACAGCACAUUGUGGGACUUCUCAGCUUCCAUAAUUGCAUGAGCCAAUACUUA